AAAAAUCCACCACGUGGGAACGGCAGACAGCACUUGGAAAACUGCGGCAUCCGCGUUCUGCUAUCUCCUUGGUGUCUCUAGUUGCGUGUUCCUUGAAGAGCCAAGAUUGUGUUUCCCAUAAGCUUCUACUUUUUAAGGAAACGAUGUGGAGGACCGAUUUCGGAGAGCAGUAACAAUGCCUUUUAAUUCUUUUUCUUGGCCAGUUGUUCAGACUAGAACUGUCCUAUAUAUUGGUGAAUAGAAGUGGUGAAAGUGGGCAGCCUUGUCUUAUUCCUGAUCUUAAAGGAAAAGCUUUUUCGGUUAAAUCUAGAUGGACACAGAAGUCUUGGGAGUGUUUGAAAAUGGCAUGUUGAAGAUGCCAGAGCCACAAAAUGGGAAGAAUCAUGGUUCCUAGAUUUUUGCUUGGAGGAUUGCAAGCAGCAAUGGGAUUUGUUAUCGAGAAACUUCUGUGUGUGGUCAUCUACUGUAGCAGCUAGCAUUGUUUUAACAUGCUUGAUGCUGCUGGUGACCUGCAGGAAAGCUGGGGUCCUUUGCCAUCAAGCUGCAAGCAAAGAAUCCGUGAGCGAAGAAUGUGAAGGAGGAGAUUUGGCAGGAUCUGGAGGAGCUAAGUAGCUGUGAGCCUGGAUGCCUCCCCGCACCAGUAAAGUGAGCCAGCAAACCAGCAUCCCGUGCAAGCUGCUCUAGUACCAGUGCCCUACUCUGAGCUCCUUCUCUUCUGCCUUCAAAUACUGUGCAAAUUUCCCUACAGGAAAGAAAAAUUGGGGAAGUCAUUCCAAGGUCAGCUGAGUUGACACCAUACAAAGCCAGUGCAACUAACAAUGGGAAAGUUAUAGUAGGGGGACCCUCUCUCACUGUUAGGAGAAACACACAUUUGUAUAACUGUGUACAAUACUUUUAUCCCUGCAAUUCUAAUUCUAGUGAUUUACCCUGAAAAUAUACGUCUCAUGUGGGGAAUGACAAACCUAAGUUCAUUCUUUGCAACAUUAUUUGCAAUAGCAGCACCAUGAACAGUAAGGUUCAUCAGUAGAAGAUUGGUUAAGAACCUUAACUUUACAUCUGUAUAUUGGAAAGAAUGUUCUUCUCAUGGGAAGACAUCAAAGACAUGUAAGUGAAAAAAGUCAAAAUACAGAACAGUAUCUACAGUGUGAUACCAUUUUCACUGAAAGAGGUAUUCAUGUUUGUAUAUGUACAGAAUAUCAAUAGAAGUAAACUGAAAAUAUCAAUGGGAACACACUGAUAAUGUGGUUUGCCUCCAGGAAGAGAAACUCUGUUCUGGGGGACAAAAAUUGGAUGGACUAUACUGUAUUUGACUAUACAGUUUUUUAAAAAAUUAUGUAUCAUGUGAAAAGUGAAAGUCACUCAGUUGUGUCCGACUCUUUGCGACCCCAUGGACUAUACAGUCCAUGGAAUUCUCCAGGCCAGAAUACUGGAGUGGGUAGCCUUUCCCUUCUCCAGGGGAUCUUCCCAACUUAGGGAUUGAACCCAUUUCCCCCACAUUGCAGAUGGAUUCUUUACUAGCUGAGCCACACAUAUAUUAGUUAUUAAAAGUAAGAGUUAAUAGUAUAAACAUUUUCAAUGAGACUAUUACAUGCACUUCUUAUGUUGUUUAUUUCUGAUACACGCCUCCUGAAAGAAAAUCUUGUUAUCUCUUUUCUCCACUUUAUGUAAAGCACAAUGUAUGUUUAUAACUGUCUAUUAAAAAUACAGUGAAAAGCCUUCUUUUAAUUUUUAAUUAGAUGAGACAUUCUUAUGACCUGAUCAAUAACCACUGAAAAUGUAUGUGGAAUCAUGAUAAAUUGUUUAAUUUCUGUCUAAAGGAAUCUUAAUACAUAAUUUAUAUAUAUAUUCCAUUAAAUUACAUACAGCAUGGGGAUACUUGGAAUGAAGACCCUCUAAGGAAAUAUGAAAUAUGAGAUUUUUUUUCAAACUUAAGAGAGUAUUUAUUUCAAUCACAUCCUUUUCCAAAGAACAAGUAGAAAUUUACUAGGGGGCUUCCCUGGCGGCUCAGAUGGUAAAGAAUCUGCAAUGCGGGAGAACUGGGGUUUGAUCCCUGGGUUGGGAAGAUCUCCUGAAGUAGGGCAUGGUUACCCACUCAAGGAUUCUUGCCUGGAAAAACUCAAGGACAGAGGAGCCUGGAAGGUUACAGUUCAUGGGGUUGCAAAGAGACACGACUGAGUGACUAACACUUUCAAAUGUCUUUUGAAACUUACUGUGCAAACUACAGAUCUGCUCAUAAGAGAAUUAGUCAUGAUUUCACUUCAGAUGAUGGUGACCUUGUCCUGUCUUUCAUUACUUCACUCUCUUGAUCAUCUUCCUCAAGAUAACCAGGAAUGAGGGUGAAAGAAAUUUUUAGAGAGGAUUAAGUUCUAACCUUAGUAAAGAAGCCAAGUUGUCUCUGGAAUACUGUAAUCAACUCUUAUUCCAUCCGCUAUUCAAGAAAUAAAGAAAUAUGAUGUAUCAAAUACAGUUGAAGCCCUUUGUGUUCCCUUCUCUUCCAACCCUACUGAUUUUGCUUUUUAUUUUUACUACAGAUGAAUAUACAGACAACACAAUAUGUUAUAGUUAUUCAUGCUUUCCAUUUUUUCUUAAACAGUGUGCUUCUGUUUAAGUAUGUGUGUUUAAAGGCAAGGUAUGCAUGUUUAAACUUCCUUAAACUUUUUCUGCAUCGAAUGUUCUUUGGAUUUACAAUUGUGAGACACAUAAUAAGUAUAGGUAGUUGACGUUCACAGUUCAGAGAAUAAUGAAUUGAACACACACAUUCUCUCCACCAAGCUUUGCAAAAGCCUCACCAUUGUGUAUUCCUCUCCCGGGCUCCCAACAGAAGGACUCACUGUCUUAUCUUUCGCAACAACUCUUCCCUUGCUUUUCUUCAGUUUUACCUGGCUGUGUCUGUUGAACACUAUCUUUAGUUUUGUAGCUCUUUAAGCUUUCUAUAAACAGUCCAUUCUGUGUACUCUGUCACAACUGGCUUUAGUGUUUGCUCUGGAGACACAUCCUUGUUGAUACAUGUAAU